AGAGAAUGAAUUAGGAUUAGCUAAGGCAUUAGUAAAUUGCUUUAAAUCAAAGUAUUCUCUCUCUACUUUAUUCUCUUUCUUCCUCUUCAUUGUCUCUAUAAAUUAGGGUUCUGUUUUGGACGACUAGUGGUGGUUCUUCUACCACCAAUCUCUCUAAUGCCCAUUUUGGCCUUUGGUCUAGUUUCUUUAUUUAAUCUUUCCUCCUCAGUUUAGAUUUUAUUUGUUGUUAUCAGUGCUCUUUGUUGGACUUUUUGCCGUGAUUUUGUGUUGGUUUUCUACAGGGUGCUCUGCCUAAUAAUGCAAUGUUAUUUGUUGCUCGUGUCCGUUAUCAUCCUCUAGGAGUCUGUUUGUGGAUGGAUGAGGGCAAGGGAGAGGGUGAGCUAUUGGUGAUGCUCCUAUAGGUUAGGGGUAUUAAUCGUUUCUUGCAAGAUCGACCACUAUUGUCGCCUCUUUCCAUCAUUCACAACCGCUCUUAUAUGGUUCGGCCUUCGAUUGUGUGUUGGGUCUUCUCCACUAGUUUUGUUGUCAUAUGGUGGUUGUACUUUAUCAUUUUCAUCUUGGUUUUUCUUUUAUUGUGGCUUGAGGAUUAAUAGUACUCUAUUUUGAUACUAGGAAAAGAUCAAGCUCUUUAUCUCUAAUGCAGAUGCAAAUGGGGAAGAAGGACUAUAAUAGUGAUGAGUAUAUCUGUCAAUGACCAAAUUGUUAUUCUCUUGUUAUUGUAGACCUUAGUUUCAAUUGCUUAGUGGUUGUAAGCCCGGUUUGAGUUUUCUAGGCCUUUGACCUAAGUUUAUAAACCUAUCGUUUAAUUUUUCUUUAGUUGGAUCGUGGGCCUUUAUAUUCUU
rnacentral:lncRNA from 1 species